AAAACACCGGUUCUCGUCCGAUUACCGAAGGUAAGUAUCUUUGGGGAUAGUCAGUACUUGGGAGGGUGACCACCUGGAAACACCGCGUGCCGUU